ACAGCUGGGCAGGAAGAUUAUGAUCGUCUGAGGCCGCUCUCCUACCCAGAUACCGAUGUUAUAUUGAUGUUUCUCCAUCGACAGCUCUGAGAGUUUAGAAAACAUCCCAGAAAAAUGGACUCGCGAAGUCAAGAAUUUCUGUCCCAACGUGCCCAUCAUCCUGGUUGGGAACAAGAAGGAUCUUCGGAAUGAUGAGCACACAAGGCGGGAGCUAGCCAAGAUGAAGCAGGAGCCGGUAAAACUUGAAGAAGGCAGAGAUAUGGCAAACAAGAUUGACGCUUUUGGGUACAUGGAGUGUUCAGCAAAGACCAAAGAUGGAGUGAGGGAGGUUUAUGAAAUGGCUCGGAGAGCUGCUCUGCAAGCCAGGCAUGGGAAGAAAAAAUCUGGGUGCCUUGUCUUGUGAAACCUUGCUGCAAGCACAGCCCUUAUGCGGUUAAUUCUGAAGUGCUGUUUAUUA